rnacentral:rRNA from 1 species
AUUGAACGCUCGCGGGAGGCCUUACACAUGCAAGUCGAGCGAGCGGCGGACGGGUGAGUAAUGCAUCGGGAUCUGCCCGAUAGCGGGGGAUAACUACUCGAAACAGUGGCUAAUACCGCAUACUAUCGGAUGUGCCCAUAUCGGAUUAGCUAGUAGGCGGGGUAAAGGCUCACCAAGGCGACGAUCGCUAGCUGGUUUGAGAGGACGAUCAGCCCAACUGGGACUGAGACACGGCCCAGACUCCUGCGGGAGGCAGCAGUGGGGAAUUUUGGACAAAGGGAGAAAUCCUGAUCCAGCCAUCCCGCGUGUAUGAAGAAGGCCUUAGGGUUGUAAAGUACUUUUGGCAGAGAGGCGUUAUCUGCAGAAUAAGCACCGGCUAACUCCGUGCCAGCAGCCGCGGUAAUAC